UUCCCCUCAUUGAUCUCACCCUUCAGACAAUUAGCCACAAGCAGUAGCAAGAAUCCUCUCUUUCUCUGCCCAGUCCACCUCUCCCGAACAUCCCUGUCCAGGUUGAAACUGAUAGAGAAAUGAUCUUCCAGGCUGAAGAUGCAACUGAAACAACAUCAAACCAGCCAUACAGUGAGUUAAGAAUAAAUGAUGAGAACAACAACGAGCGAGUAGAAGAAAAUCCAGGAGAGUGGCUGAACCUGAGACUGGGUGGGAAUUCAGUCUCAACAGCUGCAGACUCUGACUCACACCCGAGACCUGGUUCAACCAAGGUUUUCUCCUGUAACUUCUGCAUGAGAAAGUUUUUUAGCUCGCAGGCAUUAGGGGGUCACCAGAAUGCUCAU
rnacentral:lncRNA from 1 species